rnacentral:rRNA from 1 species
CGCGUAGGCGGACAGUUAAGUCAGAGGUGAAAGCCCAGGGCUCAACCUUGGAACUGCCUUUGAUACUGGCUGUCUUGAGUUCGGGAGAGGUGAGUGGAAUGCCGAGUGUAGAGGUGAAAUUCGUAGAUAUUCGGCGGAACACCAGUGGCGAAGGCGACUCACUGGCCCGAUACUGACGCUGAGGCGCGAAAGCGUGGGAGCAAACA